rnacentral:misc_RNA from 1 species
AGUAAGGUGGUCCUUGCCGGACAUCAGUCAAAAUAAGUGCAGCAUGCGUUACAUCAUCGAGUACGAGUUAACGAGGAGAGACCUCUGCGAUCCCAUAAACCAUCCUCAUCGCGUACUUGCUGGCAACCAGACAUCCACAUCUAUAACCAUCCAUCGUGUCCAGGCCUACUCUACCUAUAAAGUUUACGUCAGGACAUGGAACCAAGCAGGAGCUGGCGCGGAGAGGUCUGGAACCACGAAUACGCGCUCUUUUGAAGAGCCGUCUGAAGGACCCACAAACAUUACAGUUACUUCUCGGAUGCGGCACAGCAUUGUAUUCGCUUGGAGUGAAAUACCUUGUGGUCACAGACAUGGCCAAAUUCGGGAUUACCAGACAAGGCUCAGGGCACUGGAAAAGCCAUAUGAUUUGGCGUUUACGCCCGCUGAUACCUAUGAGACUGUCAACGUCUCGCCCUCCUCUAUGUUAUACGCUAGUGACGUGUUAGAACCAGCAACGAAAUACGAGUUUCUGGUCGCUGGCGUUAACGAGCAUGGAGCCGGAAAGUGGGCACGGAUCGAGGCCUUCACCACCGUGGAAACGGGAAUGGACCCGCCUCCUAGGCCAUCCAGCGAUCCCUCAAAAUCAACCAAUUCGACAGUUACCAUCAACGUGAAGUUACCUUUACGGUCGCGGUACAUAACUGGCAUCCAAAUUGGUGUGAAGGAGGUCUACUCAGAUAGAAAAAUGGAAAUCUUGACAACCAAACGCCCAGCCGACUUCACACCAGAUUAUGUAGCGGGAGAACUGAGCAAAGCGGACCUCGAAGAAACAUUUACCGUGGGUGACGGGCAUACGUAUGGUGCAUUCCAUAACCAGCCUCUGCACCCUGACACGGAAUACGACAUCUAUCUGGGUUCAGUGAGCAGGGUUUCAGACACAGAAUUUGCAGUAUCGUGGGGAGAGCCACUUCGGGUAAAAGUGCGGGCCAACUAUUUCUUGCCAGUAGCUGCCGUGGCAGUGCCGAUUCCUUUGGUCAUCAUCCUUGCAGUACAGUCGCUGGAGUGAUCUUUGUAAGAAAGAAGCUAGGAAGGAGACGACAGGACAGCGCUCACAUUGGUGGAGUGAGUGGUGAUGUUGAGCUUCGAGAAGGCCCAUUACGACAUGCAAAAGCAAAUCCUUAUUGGAACGAGGAAGCGCCAUAUGAACCUAUUGCAAUACUGUGUGAGUCGGAUUCGAUUGCAAAGUCGAUGGG